rnacentral:lncRNA from 1 species
GAAAACAUCCCUGAUUAUCGGCAUUGAAAAGCAUAAGCUCUGUGAGAGGCGGCGAAAAGUGGGAUUUGCGGUCUGUGGCAGAGUAGAAUUUCAGCGCUGGCAUUUGCAGAGUGGAAUUUCAGCUCUGACUAUGUACGGCAGUGUCAGAGUAGACGUGCAGCGCUGACAUUAUGCAGAGUAGAAUUUCAGAUCUGGCCAGUUCAGAGCUGGCCUUUUCAGCUCUGGCGGCAAAGUCAUAGUAGAAAAUUGCAGCACUGAAAACAAAGACAUUAACACCCAAAAAUCAAAGUAUCCGCACAAGCAACCAAAGACUUAGGAAAACAUAAAACAAAAAACAAAGAAAAACAAAAACAAAAAAAACUAAACCAACUGUGGGUUGCCUCCCACCAAGCGCUAGUUUUAAACUCGCCAGCCCGACGUAGAGGAUCCCUUAACCAAAGUCACUAUUAAAAGUCAGCUGAAUUAAUCCUUGUGAUAACACAUCAUCCUCCAUGUCAGCUGCGGGUCCUCUUAAUGAGCAAGCAGUGCUCAUCACAUUCAUCAUUCUCUCGAACCAAGAGCUAGGUCGAGAGCUCUCCUCUUUCU